AAAAAACAAGGUGAAACCAAGUGAAAAGUUUUAUUUAAAAAAAAAAAGUGAUGAAGUAAAAAAACCCAACAAAAUGUGACAACAAUUUUAUGGAAAUUAAGAAAAAAUGUCAAAUGUGAAAUAAAUGGAAAAUUAAAAAAAAAAAGAAAUAAUACAUUGACGACGACAGCGCACACAUAAAAAAGCAACGAAAUUUAUACAUUUUCUUUAUGAAAUCGAACGAGCAACGGUAGUUUCAACGAGUUGAAGUAAGACACAAAAAAGUGAUCAUUUCAAAAACAGCUGAGUUUCUCUCUCACUCUCUCGCUCUUGUUGCUUGGCAAACAAAAGGCAAAAUCGUUCGGAAUUGUUCUCUUCGUGUCAUAGAAAACAAUAGAAAACGCAAGUGCUAUAUGAACGAAAAAGUCAAGUAAAAAAAGAGAAGAAGAGAGCCCAAAGUAGAUUUUUGAGAGAGUGUGAGAGCAUAAAAUAGAUUUGCAAGUUCCGUAAACAUUCCAUCAAAGUAUCUAAUACAAAACAGCAGCGCGGCUAGCUAGCUUAUCAGAUAAAAUUCAAAUCAAUUUUGUCACAAUCUACUACCACCAUCAUCUACUAUUACACACGUCAGAGAUAUUGGCAGCAAAAAUAAGUUGUGAAUAACAAUAUAUGGAAUUUUUUCUUCUUCUUCUACUCAACAACCUUAUGAACGUCGUCCUCUCACAACAAUUUACUUAGGCAGCAAAGCAACAACAAUAUACGUCAUCAUCUGUGCAAGGUCUAAUAAAUUAAGCUGAAGAGGAAUUCAACAUAAAACACGUCCAAAAAUAAAUAUCAACGCAACAAUAACAACAACAACAGCACCUACAAAAUUAUCAUCUUAAGAGCAUUUUCAACAAAACACAGAAAACAGCAACAACACCAACAAAAAAAAACCUUGUAAUUGAAAAAUAAAAAGGGAAAGCAACUACUCUAAAAUGUAACCAGAUACAACGAUAGCAUAACAACAACAACAACACCAAACAUUAGAAAUUGCAGCAGUUGAAAAAUAUUGCUGCCUGCCAAACACAACAUCGCAGUACACAUCCAUAGCGAACCAACAAUCUAGAAGGAAAAAGACUCUGUUUAAAACACAACUCUCAAAUCAAAGAAUACUCUACGAGAGCAAAUAUCUACCACACACAAGAGCGAAAGACGUAUAGUUCAUCGAGGCUCGCUCAGCAACAGCAAAUUAUCACACACAGAACAAAGGGCAAUCAACGUGAGAAGAAGCUGCAUCCCUCCCUCCCUCCUCUAGCCACUCUUUAAGAGAUGUAAGGGAUACACCAACAAAGGUCAUUCCGCAAGCGAGAAUACAAUAUACUACUACUACUCCUACUAUUAUACGUCCACCAAAAAGGAAGAGAGAGAGAGAGAGUAUAGUGCGCGCCAUUCACACACAAAAAGAGCACAACUCACUUCCACUCACAUUUUUUCACAUCAUCAUCAGGAGCAGAGAGAAAAGAAGAAACCAACUGGAUUUUCUUCAUCAUCUGCUUCCUUGGAAAGAAUAUAAAUAAAUAAUUAUAGAAAGAAUCACAGUGUCAAACACAAAAAUUUUAAGAAAAAAGACGAAUUCUAGACUUUAGACGAUUUUACAAAAACAAAACAAAGCUCCCGCCCUAAAAAGAACAUAACACCACAGUCCAGAAGCUAAAGAAGAAAUUUUACUUCCACGUUAAAGAAAAACGCAAGCAAGCAAACUAAAAUCUUCCCUCUAAAAAAAACAACACAUUUUGUUUUUAUUAUUUGAUUCGUUUGUUAAACAUCUAUGUAAAUAUAAAUUUAUUUUUUGUUGAACGUAAACCUAUCAACAUUAACAACAACAAAGCGGAAGACACCGCUCAACUAAAAAUAUUUUAAGGAAAAACUAUUUGCCGCCGCAUCAACCGCCGCCGUCGUCGUCGUUGUCAGGUGUUACCUCUACUGUCUUUAAUAUAACUACUGUUCAUUGCCGUCGCACUCGAACUCGCACGCCGUUGCCAUCGUCUCGUCCCAAUUCUAUUACGCCUGCGUCUUACGCUGAGGCGUUAUGACAAAUUCGAUUGCGUCCGCAAAAUGCCCGUCUGUCCUAACGUCCGGCAAAUAUGGUAUGUCACAGCAGCGCAGCAUUAUCGAUGAUUCCAAAGAGUAUAUGUUUGUUAAGCUUACCGAUUCGGCAUCUCGUGCAAUUGAAGCAUACCAACGCAACCUACAGGCCAAACGUUUACAGGCAGGACAAUGCGCCACAAUACAAUUCCUGGGCAAUGGUGGCAUCAUACAAAUUCCCACAGCCGACGGUGGUGGCCCCACGGCCGAGGGAAGUAAAUUCGUCUUUGCCAUUGACGAUGUUGAGGGCUCCUUGGAGUGUAUUCAACAGGCUGGAGCCGAUUUGGAUGUGCUCGGCACCCUCAACCAUCGGAUGCGCAUACAUGCCAACGAUGAUGUCUACGAUACGACACGAACAAAAAUGGCCAUUGCCGAGGAAACGGAGAAGAGCAAAUGUAUACGGGAGAUCAAGCCGAACCAGACAGACAUUGGACGGAAGGUGAAGAGGCCCGUUUCCGCUGCCUCACUGCAAGCCUACACAAAUGGCAGCAGUAGUAGCAACGGCAACAGCAGCAACCACAGUAGUAGCAACAAUCUUAGUAGUAAUCUUAAUGGCAGCAGUAGUUAUUUAAGCAGCAUUAGUAAUAAUCAUAGUCGUAAUAAGUUGUCAGCGGCAGCAGCAUCAGUAACGCUCAAUCAACAUUCACCACCUGGUGGUGGAGGCGGUCUGAGUAAUGGUUCUUCAUCGCGUCUCCUAAGCAACAAUUCAAAAUCAUCGCCAAAUCCUAGCCUGAUGGGAGGCAAUGGAACGAUUGGCAACAGCAAUCAUCAUCAACAGCAUCAGCGCUAUGGAAGUCCCUCAAAUUUCAAUUCAUCCUCGAAUGGUCUGCCCUCCCUGGCUGGUGGUGGUGGUGGUAUGAUGGCUAAUGGCCACGAUAGCAAUUCCCCACCCACAAUGAUGGGUGCCGGGGGCCAGCAAAAGAAAGCCUUGGUUGGUAACAAUGGCAGAAAUUUGAAUAACGGUGGUGCCGGCGCCAAGGCAUCGGCUCAAAAAUCUGGUGCCUCUGUCAAUGGUAAUAGUAAAACGGCCGAUGUGUCGCGGCGCAAAAUUCGUGAACGUCUUAUCCACCUGUUGGCCCUGAAACCCUUUAAGAAACCCGAACUGUACUCGCGUUUGCAAAACGAAGGACUGGCGCCCAAGGAACGCCAACUUAUUAGUAACAUACUCAAAGACAUAUCGACAUUGUCGCGGGACAAUACCUAUAAUUUGAGGCGUUCCAUGUGGAAUGAUGUUGAUGAGAAUUGGCCAUUUUUCACGGAACAGGAGAUACAACAGCUGAAGAGACGGAAGCCGCAGAAUUUGACACCACCCAAUAGCUCAGAUGCCGGUAGUUCGAUAUCGGGACAAAGUCCCACAUCAUCGACACAUACGGGGAGUCCACCACCGGCCACCAUGACAAAUGGUAUUGGUGGUGGUGGUGGUGUUGGUGGCGGUCUAAAGCGUGCUAGUCUGGAGCCAGAUUUAUACGAUGGGGCUUUAACCCUGGCGGGUCAAAGUAAAAAGCAACGUAUUAGCCAUUACAAAAGGGACGCCAUAUCAUCCUCCAACUGUAAUGGCUUAAAUGGUUUGGGCGCUGGCGCAAGAAUGACCGCCUCCGGUUUGGGCAAUGCCGCCAACUCCUCCUCUAGUAGUGCGUACAGCAGCAACAACAACACUAAUCAUCGAACGUCAUCAUCUUCCGCCUCGGCUUACUCGCCACAAAACUACAACUCUGCCCAUAGCAAUAAUAACAACAACCACAACAGCAAUGCCACCACAAGUGGCCAUGAUGAGAAUUCUGGUAAUUCCGAUCUAACAUUUAAUGUGCUCAACAAUAUGGAUGAUUUUAUACAACAACACACAAAUGGUGCAUCAGGGGCGGCGGCAGAUCAGCCAAGCUAUGGCCGUAGCAAAGCCAGCAAGUCGACGAGUAGCCAGGCAAUAGGCUCCUCCUCCUCCCUGUCAUCAUCUGCCAUAUCUUCCAACACCAAUACCACCUUGUCCUCCCAAGCAUCAGCCACAAAAGAGAAACGAAAUUCCAGCGGUAGCACAUCGAGUGGCUAUGGUAGCAGUACAUCUUCCAGCAAUCGGGAAGCAGCGUCAUCAUCGUCGUCGUCAUUGGGCGCCAAUAUGCGACGCAACAAUUCCCCCACGCCAUAUGCAAAUAAUUUUGUGCCUGAAAGUAAGAUAACAUCCAAUGGUAGUACCAGCAGCAGCGGCGGUAGAGAUAGAUAUCAUCAUCAAAUGCAACAGCAGCAGCAGCAAAGACAACAACGCCAACCCUCAACUUCCCCAAGUUAUGGCAACCAUGUACCGCCGCCUAAACUCAAUGGAGUUGGUAACAGCAGCAGCAGCAGUGUCAUACCAAACCUUACUGAAAACUAUAAAACGUCAGCUUCCUCGUCCACGUCCUCUUCUAGCCGUUCUCGUCAUCAUACUUCCUCCUCUUCCGGCCGUAAUGGUAAUAUCGAGUCAUCAUCAACAGCAGCAGCCGCAUCAGCACCUCCUCCCUCCUCAUCAUCGUCCAGCAGCAAACGCUCGCGAUCAUCGACACCAACACAAAAGCAUUCUAGCAAGCAUAGCAACAGUAGUAAUGGCCAUCAUAGUAGCAACAGCAACAAUGCCUAUAAUCAUCCUGUGGCGGCGUCCGCAACGGUGCCACCACCAUCGUCAUAUAAUGACAAUGCCCGCACCCCGCCCCAGACUGCAUCACAACAACAGCAGCAGCAGCAACAUCCUUCGCCAACCCAACAAAUAGCGGCGGCCGCCUCAUCCUUUUCCCUGGCCGGCAAUUCCCACUCUUCCUCAGAUGCACCUCGCUUCGAUUUUAGCAAAUAUACGCCCAUAACCAGCAUCGAGCAGAGGCGUCGUUACAAGACUGAAUUCGAAAAGAAUUACGAUGAAUACCGCAAACUGUUGGCCCAGAUCGAGAGUGUGGGCCUAAGGUUUCGUGAAUUGGCUGAUCGCUUGAAUGGUGUGCCCGAAGGUUGUCCCGAUUACAAUAAUAUUAAGAAUCAAAUCGUUUCCGAGUACGAGAAAAUACGCCACGAGGAGACAAUUAAUCGUGACAAGAAGCGAUUCGAUUAUCUGCACGAAAAGUUGGCGCACAUCAAGCAAUUGGUCACGGAUUAUGAUAAGAAAUUGAGAAGUGGUAUGGUCAGCGUGCAGCCGAAGACACAGCCACAACAGGGGCAAGUGUCGCAGCAAUAUUCACAGCAACUGCAGCAGCAACAGCAGGGCUUGCAACCCCAUCAACAGCCUUAUCAUAAUGGGAAUGGUUCUACAGCUCAUCUAUCGCCAAUGUUGCAGAGUAGUGGGGAAAGUAAUCAUUCCCCGCCCUUAAUGGCGAUGAAUGGUGGGGCUGGUGGUGAAGGAGGUGGUGGUGAUAUACACCACAUGAAUGGUGGCAUAUCAUCGUUGUCUUCAUCUCCGCAGACAAAAAAGAGUUCGAAACAUCAUAGGAAACAGAAACACCAUCAACAUCAGCAACAACAGCAACAAACACAUCCUGAGCACCAGCAGCAACAACAACACUAUCAUCAAAAACAGCAAGAACAGCACUAUGAGCAUCAUCAUCAGCCAGAGACGAUACCAAUGUCUGAUGAUGAUGACGAUGAUGAUGAUGUGGUGGCUGUUUCUGGUCCCAAUCCUUCUUGGCAGCAGCAUCAGCAACACCAGCAGCAACAAUCGAUGCACUCGAACUCCUCACCACCCGCACAUAAGUCCACAAUAGCGAAACAGCAAGAAUUGCAACAGUUUUCUAUUACAGCCUCACCACCCUUACCAAAUGAGGAUCACCAUCAUAAUAACAACAAUAACAACAAUGAUUCAGAUUCUGAUAGCGAUUCUUCAUCAUCAUCGUCAUCGAAUGAUGACAAUUCGGAUGAUGAUAAUUCGGAUGGCUCAGACGAUGAUGAUGAUAACUCCGAUGAUGAUUCCAAUGAUGAUGAUGAUGAUGACGACGAUGAUGAUGACCAAUGAUCCAGACCAUAGCUAUGACCCUUUGCUAAAUGGAAAUGUAAACUAAUGAUUCUGAUCAUGAUGAUGACCAAUCGACCGAGGACCGACCGACCGACCGACCGACCGACCGACCCGCAUACGCAAAACAAACAAACAAGCAAGCAACCAACAACAACAACACUUUCUUAUUAUUGUUCUUCAAAUACACUAUAUUAUUACAACUAUUACUACUACUACUACAUCUUUGGUUUAUAUGUGUAAAAUAUUACCUAUAUAUUUUUUAAUUAUUAAAUAAUAAUUAUAAUUAUAACUACAUAAAAAUAAACAAGGCAUAAUUUAAAAAAUCAAAUAUAUAAACUAUUUCUUGAAAGGAUGAUGAUACAUUUCAUAUAUGUUUUUACUCUUGGGUUAUUGAAGAAGACGAAGAAGAAAAGGCAAUAAAAGAAUUGGAAGAAGAAAAAACCAUAUGUUCGUUUAGCAUUUGUUGUCAGAAUCAUAUCGCCAUUUUGCAAUCACAUCGAAAAGAGUAACUCUUCUUAAUAUGGCAACACUUUUUAACACUCACCUUCCCCAACGUCAUCGACCGUUACAGGCAUUUGUAGAUAUAAGACGCCAUAUUUGCAUAAAACAUACUCUCCUCUCACAUACACUUUCUUAUAGUGGCCUGGCCACAUAUCCAAUUUGGUUUUUUUUUUAACAGGGUAAAUACUACUCUCUCUCUUAUAAGUAUACAACAGGCGCAUGGAAAGCGAGUUAACCGCUAAUCAAAUCAAAUUUGUUAUUGUAACCUGGCCACAUAUAGAAUUGUUCUAUUAUUGUGUCUUUCCAAUGGGGACAGUAAAUGGUAAAACUCCCAUAGUUGUUUCUUAUUGUAAAAAGACAAGGUUUUUUCUAUUCAGUUUUAAUUGAAAUUUCUUACUAGACACAUCAUUAGAAAAAUUUAAAUAAAUUAAAAUGGCCUUAUAAAUAUAGAGUUGUGAAAAACGAGAUUAAUCUACAAUCUGGUAUUACAUAGAGCAACUCUGCCAAAAUCUUAAGUGGUAUGGCCACACAUCCAACCUCCUCAUUAUUAGCCUAGAACAUUAAAUCGCUCGAUAUUGUUUUUAGGAUUUAAAGGAUAAAAAAUAACCCCAAACAGUUCAAGAGUAUUAGAAAUAGAGUAUUUUCGAAUUUGUUAAUUUUGCUUUUGAUGAAUAUAUUAACACAAUUAUAAUCAAGCAAUAUCUUGUUUUGGAUGAAUUUGAUAGGUCUUUCUAGGUGGGAGUAUAGUUUAAAGGUGAUAAAUUCAUUUCGUUCCAUAUUGCUAUUUUUUAUAUAGUUUUCCUAUUUCUGUAUAUGUUUGACAUAUUUUCAAGAGUUCUCUGGGAUUGUUGCAAUUUGAUUGAUAGAGAGCAAAUGUCUAUUUAGGGUUAUAUGUUCCAUAUUGAAAUCUCAGUUAUCCAAAUUAUAAAACCUAGUAGUGUGGUAGAAGAGGAAAAAUAAAACAAUUCAUUUAUGGAAUAGUUUAUAUAUUUACAAAAAAAUGCAAAAAAUCAAUGAGCAAGCAAAUGAAAAAAGAAAAAACAAUUUAAUACAUUAAAAUAAUAAAAAAUUCAAUCAAAAUGUGUUGAAAUUAUUUUUAAGUAUAAAAAAAGAGGAGAAAAAUGCAUAGAGAAAAAGGAAGAAUUUCUGAAAAAGAAAUCUAAAAACACACACACCUAACACAUACACACAUUAUUUGCAAGCAAACAAAAAUCCUCAAAAAAAUUUAUAAAAUAAAGAAUUUUUAUAUACAUACUAUAUAUAAAACACUAUAUAAUUAGCAUAUUAUAUUAUUAUAAAUAAAAAAAAGAAUCCAAGAAUUAAAAGAAAGAAACCAGGAAGCACUCCUCUUUCAUCAAACAAAAAGUGACAUCGUGUAAAAAUUUUGUAAAAGCAAACAAAAACAUUUUUUUUUUACAAUUUGUGUAAUAUUUUUUUAGACUAUUAACACUACACAACACAAAAGCCAAUAAAACCCCCUUUUAUUUUUAUUUCAUUUUAUUUGAAACAAGGAGAAAUAAACGGAGACAGUUUAGACAGACAGUUUUAAAUUAAUGUCUUAAUUUGUUCGUUCUACUCCUGACACCACACCACACUGCAGAAUGUUAUAUGUAAUGUGGUGCUGAUGUUGUCUAAAGAACAAGUUUUGUAAAAUUUAGCAUAUUUUACUCAAAAACAAUAUUAGUCGAAAUUAAAACACAGCAAGAAGAAAUGGUAUAAACAAAUGUGUUUAGAACGAAAAUUUUGUAUUCAAAUGUGUUUGUUAUAGUUUCUCUGUCUAUAUGGUCAUUUUAAGCCUCUCUCAAAUACUUUAUAUGAGUAUUAUUGGAUAAAAUUUGUUAAAAGCCUUGUUAAUUUGAUGUGUGGCUAGGCCACAUUCAUGUUUUCUUUUUUUACUUGCCAUAUAAAUAUCAUUUAUAGUUUAUGUGGAACUGCCAGGAGGUCACAUUUUGUCUCUUUUGUGUUAUUCAAUUCAUCCAUCAACACCACACUAAACCCAUUCAUUUUAAAUUUAACAAAUUUCAAACGAUUCAUUCCAAUCAAAAAAAAAAAUAA